AACGAACGCUGGCGGCAUGCCUAAUACAUGCAAGUCGAACGAGAUCUUCGGAUCUAGUGGCGCACGGGUGCGUAACGCGUGGGAAUCUGCCCUUGGGUUCGGAAUAACUUCUGGAAACGGAAGCUAAUACCGGAUGAUGACGUAAGUCCAAAGAUUUAUCGCCCAAGGAUGAGCCCGCGUAGGAUUAGCUAGUUGGUGGGGUAAAGGCCCACCAAGGCGACGAUCCUUAGCUGGUCUGAGAGGAUGAUCAGCCACACUGGGACUGAGACACGGCCCAGACUCCUACGGGAGGCAGCAGUAGGGAGUAUUGGACAAUGGGGGAAAACCUGAUCCAGCAAUGCCGCGUGAGUGAUGAAGGCCUUAGGGUUGUAAAGCUCUUUUACCCGGGAUGAUAAUGACAGUACCGGGAGAAUAAGCUCCGGCUAACUCCGUG
rnacentral:rRNA from 1 species